GUCAGAUGGCUCCCUCAGCAAUGCCCUCACAGCAAUCGGGCGGCUCUAAAGUUUCCAGGAAACUAUAAUAUUUCUUCAGUAUGAGAAACUCCUUAAUAUAGGGCUGAUGAAGUGACUACAUGGGGAGUAAGAGUAGAUAAGCGCUGCCCCAACAGGUGCUGCUUCAGUCGGAGAGAUUAGGUGAUCAGUGUCCUCAGAUUCCUUCCCACUUGGAAUGUCGUACACGCAGAGGAGGACAGGCCUUUCUUGACUUCCUGGGGGUAGGUUAAGGGAGUCGUGCAGGACGAGACAAGAGUGGUGCCUGCGUUUGAGGUGCAGCUCCUGGGCGCCACACAGAUGAGCUCAUGAAACGCUAUGCUGUCCGCCUAGCCGGGGGUGGGGGCGUGGAGGGUGAGAGGAGAGGGCAUCCCUGCCAUCAAUCACCCAGGGUGGAGCUGGGACCCACUGCUCCAGGAUCAGCCCGACAGGCAGGAGGAACAUGGGGCCAAGGCCACAUUAAAGGCAUUGAGUGUCCCCCCUCAGCAUGAGAGGGUGGGGAUGGAGUCAAAGGAGAGAGGCUGAGGGGAUAACAACCAGGAGGUGUGGUGCCAAGUAACUGGAGAGGUGUAGCUGAGCGUGGAGACAAAGUCAGGAGUCGAGACAGGGGCAGGGGAGGGACACUUCUGAGGGAUAGCGGCCUGUGAAACCUGAAGACAGAGGCAACGAUGGAAAGAGACAUACAUUGUCAGAACCCCCGGCUUAUGACUCAAAGCUUAGUCCAUGAACUCAUCACCUUUGGUCACAUGUUGUGUAGCUUGGACAAGAAUUUCUUCAAUGUGUCCAUGCUUGCUUAAAGCCAGGAGUCGGUCAGGAGCAAUUUCAGAACGCCGUUCUGGGCAGGAGUGUGAUCCACCCUUACGUGUUGGCAGCAGUUAUGGACGCUGGGUGAAAUGGUCUGCCGGCACACAGGCUCACACUCAGGGUAUCUGGUGUUGACAGACAGGCAGCAGACACACCAGGUACCAGUCAAAGUCCAUCAUGAGGCAGCUCUGGAAAUUCAUUCGAAUACAGACAAUCCUUACAACGUGGAGAGUGAACAUGAACUUUCACGAUUGUAGUAUUCUCAAUAGCUUAUUUCACAAAAAUAAAUGAAAAAAGUUCAGGAAAUUCAUGCUAUAUUGGAGAAAAAAUAUGUGUUUAUACUGUAAUAGUAU